GGAUGGGUGGCAGAGUGGUCGAUUGCAGCGGUCUUGAAAACCGCCGAGGCGCAAGCCUCCGUGGGUUCGAAUCCCACCCCAUCCG
rnacentral:tRNA from 1 species